UGCUGCCGGGAGGCGGGGUACGCCGUGGACUGGUCGCCAGCCAACGUCAGGAUGACAAUUUUGUGGCGAGUGUAAAUUGGGACCCAAACGCAGCACAGCUGGAACAUUGCUAAGGUCAGGUCAAGGCCAGCGUACACUGCAGUUAACCGCAGUCCAGAGGGUCAGGCUUUGAAGAUCGACCUCAGUCAGUAUUUGAAAAAUAUGACUGACUUUAUUUUCGUAUACCAUUUAAAGUGCAACUACACACCACCAUCAUCAUCAUAAACAUGGAAACAUACAGCAACUAACGCAGGCGCUCAAGAGUCAAUUCAAGGCAGACGUUCGCUGGUACCGUCGAGCAGACGAGGGCCAUGAUGAAGAUGGUGAAGAAGAGGAUGUAAAAGCACUCCUGCCUCCGCGCGUGCUCCCGUGGCGCCCCCUGCAGGACCUUCUUCUACACACACACACACACAAACGCAAUAUUAAGUAUAGUGAGAUACAAAUAAUAAUAGUAUCAUUCCUGGACUGUUGGGUAAGCAAAUGGAGCGCACCUUUUCUGGAAACGACAUGACAAAAUGCAGUUUCUGGCAAAGGUGCGCUCCAUUCGAUUAUCCGCACGGCCGUGUUGUUUCAGAGAACGAUAGUAACCCCACAAAUGAGUAUUUUGUGUGCGCGUAGCGAUUACGUUGCCACUAAUGAAUGUUUUGUGGAGAUAAAUUAGUAUUAGUAUUA